rnacentral:lncRNA from 1 species
AUCCUUUCGCGGUCCGCCGAGGCCUCGGAGCAGCGCGACCCGGGUUCCCGCCUCAGGCCCCAGGAGGCGAGGUGUACAGUCCGGUAAAGGAAUGGAGCGCCCGCCGAGCGGUCGCUGCGGGGGUAGCCUCGCGGAGGUUGUUUGGCCUCUCACGGCCCCCGUAUCCAACGGAAGAGGAGUCCGUUGGAAUAGACGACCCGGAUUUCGGCUGUUGUAGGGCAGUUCCUGGGCUCCCGCGGAGCGAUGAGACGUUGUGAAUUAGAUGUGAGAAGAGGGACGCUUGGUCUGCGACCACCAAGACCCCACAGGAUCGAUGCACCCACCCCUGCUGAUGACCAUGACCAUCUAAAGGGGAACAUCAUUUGAGGGGCCCUACUCAUGGAUCAGAAGCCCCUCUUCACUGUGGGGUGUGCUGGGUUGGCGGGCAGUUGCCGUGGAAUCAGUUUCCUCAGGACCCAUAUCUGACCACCCUCAUAAGGUUGUCAGGGCGAUUCCAACAUUCGGGGUUCCCAGCAGCCCAGAUCCCCCACAUCCAGCUCUUCAGCCUACUCAGAGCUCUCCACGCUCACUCACAUGUCCCUCUCGCAAGUAGCCCGAUCAACUCACCUGGUGUCAUGGGCACUAAGGUGUUAAUGGAUUUUCUCUGGUCACCUUUGCAGCUCCACUGUUUUGAGGUCCCAGGAACUCACAGUAUGCUCUAAAAAGGAGAGGGGCAAGAGCUCUGAGUGAGUACAUCCCGUUGGCCCGUGGGAUUUCUUGCCCUAUGGAAAGGAACAUGGACGGAAGAGAAUCAGGUGCUCAGAGCCCUAGACUGGGGCUCCUCUUGCCCCAGUCUUGAGGCAGUUCUAAAGAGCCUCUGGAACCAGAAUGGACGGUCCUCUAGUAACGCUGGAUUCUAUGGGUUGGAAGUACUGCAGCGGCUGGAUCAGGUUCCAGUA